GCAGUCNAGCGAAUGGAUUGAGAGCUUGCUCUCAAGAAGUUAGCGGCGGACGGGUGAGUAACACGUGGGUAACCUGCCCAUAAGACUGGGAUAACUCCGGGAAACCGGGGCUAAUACCGGAUAACAUUUUGAACUGCAUGGUUCGAAAUUGAAAGGCGGCUUCGGCUGUCACUUAUGGAUGGACCCGCGUCGCAUUAGCUAGUUGGUGAGGUAACGGCUCACCAAGGCAACGAUGCGUAGCCGACCUGAGAGGGUGAUCGGCCACACUGGGACUGAGACACGGCCCCAAACUCAUACGGGAGGCAGCAGUAGGGAAUCUUCCGCAAUGGACGAAAGUCUGACGGAGCAACGCCGCGUGAGUGAUGAAGGCUUUCGGGUCGUAAAACUCUGUUGUUAGGGAAGAACAAGUGCUAGUUGAAUAAGCUGGCACCUUGACGGUACCUAACCAGAAAGCCACGGCUAACUACGUGCCAGCAGCCGCGGUAAUACGUAGGUGGCAAGCGUUAUCCGGAAUUAUUGGGCGUAAAGCGCGCGCAGGUGGUUUCUUAAGUCUGAUGUGAAAGCCCCCGGCUCACCGUGGAGGGUCAUUGGAAACUGGGAGACUUGAGUGCAGAAGAGGAAAGUGGAAUUCCAUGUGUAGCGGUGAAAUGCGUAGAGAUAUGGAGGACACCAGUGGCGAAGGCGACUUUCUGGUCUGUAACUGACACUGAGGCGCGAAAGCGUGGGGGAGCAAACAGGAUUAGAUACCUGGUAGUCCCCGCCGUAA
rnacentral:rRNA from 1 species